GAUUAAGUUAUUAAGGGCGCACGGUGGAUGCCUUGGCACUAGAAGCCGAUGAAGGACGUUACUAACGACGAUAUGCUUUGGGGAGCUGUAAGUAAGCUUUGAUCCAGAGAUU
rnacentral:rRNA from 1 species